rnacentral:lncRNA from 1 species
AGGGUGUGUGGCAGACGCCACAGUCCAAGGGAUGCAUCUCAAUGGCCCCCACCAGUGUCCAUAUCAGCAUGCCUGGACCAGCUCAGAACAACGGCCCCCACCAGUGUCUCAGUCUCAGGAGAGGAUCCUCCUCUCACCAAGAUGCCCCCAGAGCCUACCAGUGUGAAAUCCAGAUUAAGAACAAACAUCACACAACUUGGAAAAGAUACCUGUGAAGUUCUUGUGAUCAGCAUCAUUAUAGACCUGUCAUCUGAAUCUCACUCCUGUUAUGGAAAUCCCUAAAAGUCUGAAUCUUGGUGAUAAGGAGGGCCCUGCUUCUCACUUUAGCAAUGAAGGAACCAGAUAUUUCCUCUCUACUCCCUGGCAACAAGCACUUGGAUAUAUGAAGCUGGUUUUGCCCUUGGAUGUUCUUGCCUUGGACUUGCAGCUGAGAGGAAUAUGGAUCUGAAGAUGUGAGUGACAGACAGAGAUUAUACCCUGUGGGAUGGGAUGGCAGAAUUGCAAGUACAGUGGCAGUGGUUACCAUGGGAGCAGAAAGAGUGGCACUGGUGAGUACCCCGUGCAGGUCGCCCCAGCUGUUGCCCUAGCUGACUAUGUCGGUGCUCUCUGCCACCAAGUCUCUCAUGGUUCCUACCUAUAUUCUAAGCCUGGUUCUUCAGGCUGCCUGUCACUUCUUUAUGAAUUGAUCCUUUAUCAUUAUGAAAUGUCCCUCUUUAUUUCUUGAAAUAUUCUUUGUUCUGAAACCUCCUUUGUCUGAUACUGAUACAGUCACUCUAGGAUUUUUUUUUGUUGGGGGGAUGAUAGAAAUAUUUAUUACCUUUAUUGUGGUGAUGGUUUUGUG